UACGUAGGCAGCAAGCGUUGUUCGGAAUUACUGGGCGUAAAGAGUGUGUAGGCGGUUCUCUAAGUUCCGUGUGAAAUCUCCCGGCUUAACUGGGAGGGUGCGCGGAAGAACUGGAGGGCUGGAGUAUGGGAGAGGAAAGCGGAAUUCCUGGUGUAGCGGUGAAAUGCGUAGAUAUCAGGAGGAACACCUGCGGUGUAGACAGCUUUCUGGACCAUCACUGACGCUGAGACACGAAAGCGUGGGUAGCAAACAGG
rnacentral:rRNA from 1 species